rnacentral:lncRNA from 1 species
UCAUAUUCUUCAACACAUAUAUCAUGUCCUUUCUUCUCCGAAUUGUUCAACAAAAAACAGGAUGUUAUGAGCUGCAUGCAAUAUCUUCUAACAUUAUAGUUAUUCUUUCUACUAUCUGUAAAUCCUCCCUCCGCCAUGCUUUCGGUUUGUGGUCCUUCUUGGGGCUUUUCUGUUUGGCCUUUUCAUGCUUCCUAGCAGCCGUUUUCUUCUUCCUAGCAGCUUUUCUCACCUUGGCUUCUUUCUGCGAAACCCAAUAAUAUUACGAGAAACUAAAUUUAAAGGCUAAUAAAAAUACUUAUAGACAUGCAAAUAAUUGAGUAUCUUGAUUCGUGAUCAUUAAAUAAUUAAAAAAUUUCAUGUUAACACAUCUCUUUCACCUUUGCCAAGCUCACUACAUGUCAACUCCCACAUCAGCAAAUUCUCAUCCAGAGUUGUUUUGGUUUCCUACUCAUGCAGAGUGGUUUCAUCUUCUUGUUUUGGUUGCUUCAUGUUAGAUGCACCUAUCCUCUUCUAUGGGUUCAUAAUACUCACAUUAAUUAAGACUCAUUAUCAUUAGAAAACUAUAUUUAUAAGGGUCUUGACACAAACAAAAUGCAACAAAAUUCAAAGUAAAAAUUGAUGUUAUUGAUGAAAACACAAAAAAUGUAAAGAAAACUUACGAGCUGAAGCCGAACUUAGGCUAAUCAUGAAUGCUCAAUUUUCUUAGUUAAUAUAAAUUUCAAGUUUUUCCCUUUUUAUUGAAUUUGUUUUACUGUACUUAAUAUUUAAUUUGAUUUUAAAGGCCUAAUCACUAUCUAAGUUGAAUUAGAUUAAUGCAAUGCAAGUUAGAGUAGAUGCCAUACUUAACUUGAGUUUUGAAUUCACUUCUGCAGUCUUCAACCAACCAUUCACCCUAAGUCUGCAACCACAUUAAAUAACAACCAUUCACCUUAUGAUUAUGCUCGCAGAAGUAUUCUGAUAACAGUUUAUUAUAGGGAGAGAGAGAGAGAGAGAGAGAGAGGGGCUUCUGCUGGGUAUUAUGUGGAUGAACAUACGUCAAAUAAUCACAUUAGGCACCUAUCCAAAG